UGGGGAAUUUGGACAAUGGGCGAAAGCCUGAUCCAGCAAUGCCGCGUGUGUGAAGAAGGCCUUCGGGUUGUAAAGCACUUUUGUCCGGAAAGAAAUCCUUGGCUCUAAUACAGUCGGGGGAUGACGGUACCGGAAGAAUAAGCACCGGCUAACUACGUGCCAGCAGCCGCGGUAAUACGUAGGGUGCAAGCGUUAAUCGGAAUUACUGGGCGUAAAGCGUGCGCAGGCGGUUUGCUAAGACCGAUGUGAAAUCCCCGGGCUCAACCUGGGAACUGCAUUGGUGACUGGCAGGCUAGAGUAUGGCAGAGGGGGGUAGAAUUCCACGUGUAGCAGUGAAAUGCGUAGAGAUGUGGAGGAAUACCGAUGGCGAAGGCAGCCCCCUGGGCCAAUACUGACGCUCAUGCACGAAAGCGUGGGGAGCAAACAGGAUUAGAUACCCUGGUAGUCCACGCCCUAAACGAUGUCAACUAGUUGUUGGGGAUUCAUUUCCUAGUAACGUAGCUAACGCGUGAAGUUGACCGCCUGGGGAGUACGGUCGCAAGAUUAAACUUAAAUGAAUUGACGGGGUCAUAGCUGUUUCCU
rnacentral:rRNA from 1 species